rnacentral:sRNA from 1 species
GCUGGGCAUGGUGGCUCAUGCCUGUAAUCCCAGUGACUCGGGAGUAUGAGGCAGGAGGAUCACAAGCUCAAGGCCAGCCUCAGGAACUCAGCAACUUAGCAAGACCCUGUCUCAA